AGUUUCAUUUGCGUUGGUCGCUGGUCGAUUUCUCCCCGCCGCAGCGUCCCGUUGAAGUGAGGGCUUUUGGAACACGUCUCCGGCAUCGACCCAUCAGGAUACUAAAUUGUGGAGACAAAGGCGUGCAGUGUGAAUUCAGGAUAAGCAGACUUGAGUUUAACGGAAGGUUAUGGCAAAAACUCAACAAGGUGUCGUAGGAGGGUCCCAAGAUCCGACUGGUUCGCCCGUAAGACUUGUUACCCGGGCA